rnacentral:tRNA from 1 species
UGCGGGUUGGUGUAGUGGUCAACAUAACUGGCUCAUAUCCAGUAGCUCAACAGUUCGAAUCUGUUACCCGCAACCA